rnacentral:lncRNA from 1 species
AUGAGAUUGUGGGAUAUUGAAAAAGCUGAUAACAUUCCAGAAGUAAUAGAAAAUAAAUUAGCUAUGGGUAUCACAGUUGCUCAGUGUGAAGACUGUAAAAAGGCUUUUUCCCUCCUACAAAGUAAUGGCAAUUCUGAAGAUGAAGCCAAAUGUGUAUUCUGUCGACUAGCUUCUCCUUCAAGAUGGGAAUUGCCAUCACCACCUGAAGUAAAUUGAUUCCAGGCUAAUGGACAUGUAUAUGCUCAGAUAAGUUUUCUGUAGGGUUUAAACAUGCUGUCUAGAAUGUGGGGUGCUUUGGAAAUCGGGAUCUUCUAUUGAACACUUGCAGGUCUGGACAUUUUGCUCGUGUGUUUAAUGCAGAAGGUCAGGAUUAAAUAUCAAGGUUUGGGAAUCUAUUUGUUUCUGGUAUUUCACGAAAAAAAGGAUUGUAUUCUGCAGUAAAAAAUGUAUUUAAGUGAACAGACAUAAAAUCUAGAGUUCUUUGAGGGGUAUAAUCUGAAGUUGAACUUUUAAAAUAAUUUGUAUAUUUAGCAUAUAUCACAAUUAAAUAUUUUCUAUAAUCAUAUUGUUAUAUCUACAAGAAGAAUAGAUCAAUUCACUUUAUUUCCCUUGGGACAUAUGGAAAACACUGAAGAAAGAACGAACUAUUCUAUGAAGUUUUGGAAUCUGUAUUUGAUAAGAACUUUCUGCGUUUUAAAAGUGCCUUUGGUAUGGGGUCAUUAAAAUCCUCUUCAGAGUUUGUUGGAAGACGUUUAAAUGCAAGAUUAACUUGUACGUCACGAUCAAAUGUGACAAACCGGUUUUGUAUAUUAGCAUUGUGUACUCUCAGUCAAUAAAAGAUUAAGUUCCAGGAUAUUAAACCAUUCAUUACAAUUGCUUUUGUAACCCAGUGGCUUGUUUAUUCAAGAGCGAAGGAGUAUGUUUUAUGUAGGUAUGUAACAGCUGGUAAUGGCAAAGUUGCUGAAAAUGGAAGUCAAUUAUGGAUUUGGAAUUUAAUGGCUUUGUUUUUAAACAAUCCAAAGCAUCUUGAAGCCCAGGCUGUAUGGAUGGCUCUUCAAACCAAAGAGAAAAGGAAACAAUUUAAAUGGGAAAGGUUUCUUUCUUGCGGUCAUCACCAUCAGUUAGCACAAAUCCAGUACUGACAUAUACAUGUAUGAUUGUUAUGCUGAUAACUUCCAGGAAAGCAAUUAGUGAUCAGUAAAAUCACCCAGGUUUUUUUCUGUCUGGACGGGCUACUGGGUAAUGCUUCCUCUUUUAUGAAAUUGUCAUUGAAAAAGGUAGAAGAUAAAUGAAUUAGCACAGGAUAGUACAUUUGUCCAACCUGAAGACUAUUGGUACUGUAAGUAGAUUUUUCUUUUUCACCCAUAGAGAAUCUUGUUUUGAUCCUUAGCCCUUAGAUUCUCUACUUUAAUUCAUUUUAGUUAUUUUUCAAAUAAAAGCUUCAGAAAAAAAUGGAACAUGUGGUUCUGGAGUCAUUUUUAUGAACUCAGCAUUCGUGUAGCUUUCAGAGGAUAGGUUAGACAAUUUUUUUUUACAUAUGAUUAGUAAUGCUUUCUUAGGGUUGUAGUAGUCUAUAGUAGUCUGCUUUUGGAAUGUGCUUCUCUUGGUUUAUUUAAAUACCCUUCUUGUAAUAUCAGAAUUGGAAUUGCCCCUUGUUCGCUCAUUCUGUCCCUCUUUGGCUAGAAUAAAAAGUCUCCAUUUAUUCGGU